CUAAUGAGUGCUUCUGACUAAAGGUAUCCCCCGUCACAAUAUAUAGAAUUUCUUAAAGUUCAUACCGAAAAAAGUUCUGAUCUAUGUAGUUUACUCUAACUUUGAUACAUCCACUUAUCAGAAAAAGAGGCAUGAGACAACGAAAGCGUAUUCUACGAAUAAGCUCCUUCUUGUCAACCCCCUCAUUUCCUUUUCGUUUCUACUUACUUACGUCUACCUGCUCUCUC
ensembl:snoRNA C28D4.17 ncRNA